AGUGAACGCUGGCGGCAGGCCUAACACAUGCAAGUCGAGCGGCAGCGGGUCCUUCGGGAUGCCGGCGAGCGGCGGACGGGUGAGGAAUGCGUCGGAAUCUGCCUUUUUGUGGGGGAUAACGUAGGGAAACUUACGCUAAUACCGCAUACGACCUACGGGUGAAAGUGGGGAACCCAAGGGCUUAACGCGAAAGUUGGGCCCGACGCCGGAUUAGCUAGUUGGCGGGGUAAAGGCCCACCAAGGCGACGUUCCGUAGCUGGUCUGAGAGGAUGACCAGCCACACUGGAACUGAGACACGGUCCAGACUCCUACGGGAGGCAGCAGUGGGGAAUAUUGGACAAUGGGCGCAAGCCUGAUCCAGCCAUGCCGCGUGUGUGAAGAAGGCCUUCGGGUUGUAAAGCACUUUUGUCCGGAAAGAAAUCCUGUCGGCUAAUACCCGGCGGGGAUGACGGUACCGGAAGAAUAAGCACCGGCUAACUUCGUG
rnacentral:rRNA from 1 species